UAAUACGAAGGGGGCGAGCGUUAUUCGGAAUGACUGGGCGUAAAGGGCGUGUAGGUGGCUUUGUAAGUCAGUUGUUAAAUGCUAUGGCUUAACCAUAGAAAUGCGAUUGAUACUGCAAAGCUAGAGUGUGAGAGAGAGAAGUGGAAUUCUCGGAGUAGCGGUAAAAUGCGUAGAUCUCGAGAGGAACACCGGUGGCGAAGGCGGCUUCUUGGCUCACUACUGACACUAAAACGCGAAGGCGUGGGGAGCAAACAGG
rnacentral:rRNA from 1 species